UUACAUUCAAUGAUUUUGAUUGAUUCAAUUUCUAGGUCAAUACUGAAUCUGGGAAAAUCUUUCUCUCGGUUUUACAAGGACUAGCUGGUGGAACUCUACUUUAUGUAACAGUCAGCGAAGUUCUACCUCGAGAGAGAUCACGAUGGCACAACAGAUCCAAACAAUCAUCCGGACUCGUUCAGUUUUUAGCAACAGCUUCUGGAUUCGCUGUUAUAUUCUUCAUUAAUCAAUAUUUAGAAAUGCAUCACUGAAAGUCGUGGCAUGAAGGGUUCCAGUGUCCAGAAGAAGGUGAACGCUCUAAUAUUUUUAGCUGGAAUAUUUCGAAGCUAUAAUUUAUUCAAUUGCAAUAUUUUUUGUUGUGUUACUUUAAGAGGUACCCGCAAAAUAAUAAAAAGACUUUAAUUUGUAA